UGGUUUAGUGGUUAAGCACUCAGCUCCUAACUGAAAGGUUGGUGGUUUGAUCCCACC
rnacentral:tRNA from 1 species